rnacentral:rRNA from 1 species
AUUGAACGCUAGCGGGAUGCUUAACACAUGCAAGUCGAACGAGCGGCGGACGGGUGAGUAAUAUAUGGGGAAGUGCCCAGUAGCGGGGGAUAACUACUGGAAAGAGUGGCUAAUACCGCCUACUAUUGGAGUGACCCAUAUGGGAUUAGCUAGUGGGUGGGGUAAAGGCUCACCUAGGCAACGAUCCGUAGCUGGUCUGAGCGGACGACCAGCCACACUGGGACUGAGACACGGCCCAGACUCCUACGGGAGGCAGCAGUGGGGAAUAUUGGACAAUGGGGGAAACCCUGAUCCAGCCAUCCCGCGUGUAUGAGAAGGCCUUCGGGUUGUAAAGUACUUUUGGCUGAGAGGCGUUACCUGCAGAAUAAGCACCGGCUAACUACGUGCCAGCAGCCGCGGUAAUUC